rnacentral:lncRNA from 1 species
GGCACACAUAUAUUAUUAACAAUCAUCAUGGGUGUAUGAGAAUUAUUAAGUAUGACACUACAUAUGUCAUAGUCUUGUACUUGAAUAAAAAUUUUUAUCCUAAUUUUUCAAUAAGUGUAAUUAGUGCCAUUAAAAAAAGAAGGUCUAAUAGCUGAGUGUCCUUCACCCAACAAACAACCAAAUGGGUCAGCCAUAAGAUCUUUAACUCUAAAAAAUUAGAGCACCUGCUCUGAUACCAAUUAUUUCCUAGUAAUGGCUACCCA